UACAGAGGUCCCGAGCGUUGUUCGGAUUCAUUGGGCGUAAAGGGUGCGUAGGCGGCGGGGAAAGUCUGAUGUGAAAUCCUGGGGCUCACCCUGGAACUGCAUUGGAUACUUCCUUGCUAGAGUACUGGAGAGGAAACUGGAAUUUACGGUGUAGCAGUGAAAUGCGUAGAGAUCGUAAGGAAGACCAGUGGCGAAGGCGAGUUUCUGGACAGUUACUGACGCUGAGGCACGAAGGCCAGGGGAGCAAACGGG
rnacentral:rRNA from 1 species